GGCCCAAUCUAUCCAGAAUAAAUUUGACGGAGAAGUCUACCUGUCCAAACUGCAAGGGGACCAUGAUGUAUGGCAUCUUUGGGGGUUGCAUCCUGAUGUUCUGUAACAGCUUGUGUAAUUUGAUGCAUCACAUCACGUUAACUCAUGCUUAAGUGUUGCUGUUUAAAAUGUGCUACAAGCUCCAGGAGCUCAGCUAAUAAAGGCCACCGAAUGAAAGAAAGUUAAAUAUGAAUGUAAGAGGAGACCUAAAUGAAGGGCUGGCUUGUACAACUCAAAGAUGACCUUCUCAAGAUGAGCAAGUGGAAAAUCCUUUUUAAAGCAAAUGAGGCUGUUCCUGUUAACUCCUUUUGCUGUCACUUCUGCUUACUGUUCCUGAUACUGGUAAGCUUUAAAUUCCCUGCCCCCAAAACCUCAGUCCAGUGGAGAGGGAUUAAUUUUCUAUUUUCAGGGGGGUACUGGUCCUUUUUCCUCACUAAAUCCUGUUCCCAAAAACACCCCACCCAGCUUCCUAUUCUCAUUCUUUAAACAAAAAAGAAAACAAAAAAACAAAACUCUUCUCAUUCAAACUAAAAGGAGUCCUCACCCUUAAAACCAGCCCAUAUCUUGAUUUAAACCUCCUCACCCCUGCCACUAGAGGCUAAUAUUGAGCAUUCAAUUUUUGUUUUGAUUUCCCCCCUUUUAUGCUGAACUGCAGUGCUACAUUUCUGCCCCCUAAAGUGGGAACCAAUUAUACACACACACACACACACACACACACACACAAACACACACACACCAACUAAAAAAACACACCCGAUACAACCAAACUAUAUCAUUGUAAAGAAUAAUAACAGAACAACAUGGUUUUGUCAAAUUGGAAAACAUUAAGGUUC
rnacentral:lncRNA from 1 species